UCCCUAGUGGCUUACAGGGUAAAGCAUCUGCCUGCAAUGCAGGAGACCCAGGUUCAAUCCCUUGUUGGGAAG
rnacentral:tRNA from 1 species